AUUUUUAGUGGAGAAUGGUAUUUAGAAACAAAGAUCUGAACACUGGGUGUGCUCAUUGCUAUGAACACAUCAUUUCUUUUAGGUUUUGUCAGUGGAGAGAGCUUAUAAGUUGUAUUUACACAUAUAAAAAUGUGUAUGUGCAUAUACACACAGGAAUAUAGAUAGUACACAUAUAUCCAUAUUUAUUUUCUAUAUCAAACCAUCUUUAUAAAUAACUAUAAGUUUACACCUAUACCUCCAAUUCCAAUCCAAUCCAAUAGAUUAUUUUUUUUUCUGGCCUUUUCCCUUUCCUUGUUUGCAAUUCCCUCCUCUUGCAGUGGAAACCUGGAUUCUAUUAAGUCAAUAUAUUUUGCUCCAAGACACACCAACCCCCACCCCCAAUAGCCAUGUGCAACCCAGGGGGAAGGGAGAAGGAUAAAAGGGAAGGGAGAAGGAAGAAAGUUCCUCCCAGUGAAUUUUUUUUUGAAUUAGCCCAAUGGUUAAAAAUAAUAGAAGAAAGGAAGGAGCCAUGUAGAAUUUUAAACUUGUGACUAGUCAGUUUUGUCCAUCUUUCUCUUUUUUAAUGGCUUUUGGCUUUUAUGUCACAAAUAAAGGUUAUGAAAAUAAACUUCAUAGUACUUUUUAUGCCUUUUUUUUUCUUGGUUUCUGUGAACCUAUUGGUUUUUUUACAUUUUAAUUUUCAGUACACCUGAGAUUUUUUGGGGGGAAUAUUUUAGGAUCUAAUUAUAUUUUAUUUUUCUGAAUGGAUAACUAGUUAUUUCAACAUUCAUAUUGAUUGAUUUAUCUUUUCUCCAUUGAAAGUGAUUCUCCUGCCUCAGCCUCCCAAGUACUGGGAUUAAGGCAUGUGCCACCAGGCCCGGCUAAUUUUGUAUCUUUAGUAGAGACAGGGUUUCUCCAUGUUGGUCAGGCUGGUCUUGAACUCCCGACCUCAGGUGAUCUGACUGCCUCGGCCUCCCAAAGUGCUGGGAUUACAGGCAUGAG
rnacentral:lncRNA from 1 species